AGUUUUCCAUGGCUCCGAGACAAUGACACCGCUUCAGUGUGAACUCUCAUGAAUUGAGUCUAGAUCCCCAGUGCUGUCCGUCUCACCUGUCCUCCUCUACACAUAUCUGGGAUAUGUCACGGCUUGGUGGUCUUUGAAGAUGUGACUCUGAACUUCAUCCAGAAGGAGUAGGCUUUGCUGGAUUUUUCCGUGAAGAAUCUGUAGAGAUGUGAUGAGGGAAGCCAUCAGCACCUGGCUUCUAUAGCUGCAGCCCAAGAGGCCAACUGGAACGUUAACAUCAGACACUAAUCCAGCUGACUGAGAUUUUUUAAACUGACAGGAUCAUGGCCAUUUCACAGACAACUACCCAAAAAUAUCUACAGACGGCACUGCUCCUACCAACCCGAUACCAGAGAACUCUCUGUCCCCUCGUCAGCAGGAAGUAGCCAGAAAGAACAUGCCGCCCCUCGUCCUUUUUAUAACUAUGAGGUCUGGAUUGACAGAGCAGAAGCAUCACCAUUGUGGAUAAGCGCCUCAUUUUAAAAUUCACCUUAAUCAAAAACUGCCUAAAUCCAAAGGGCAUCAGCCUAAUGGCUAAGGUCAGCAUGAUCACAAACCACAAAUAACAUCUCCAACCAAAAACAUUCCAGACACCUCCCACAGAGAAAUGCUAGCCUCGGGAUAACCCCUCUCCUGCCGGAAAGAUGUCACCCCCAAGAUAACCACCCCUCCGCCCAGAACAUUCCAACCCUGCCACAAACUUCUCCCCCACACAGAAACAUUCCAAGCUUGUAAUAAGCUCCCUCACCCUAAAACCAACGUACAUUCUUAGUCUGCAAGGAAAAGUGCUCCUGACUGACCAGCCA
rnacentral:lncRNA from 10 species